GGCCAGCUGGCCUAAUGGUAAGGCGCUAGAUUUCGGCUCAGGUAUCACCUAUUCGGUUUACCUUGAACUCUCUCUAGAGAUUGCAGGUUCGAAUCCUGCGUUGGUCG